CCUACGGGAGGCAGCAGUGAGGAAUAUUGGUCAAUGGACGAGAGUCUGAACCAGCCAAGUAGCGUGAAGGAUGACUGCCCUAUGGGUUGUAAACUUCUUUUAUAAAGGAAUAAAACGAGGCACGUGUGCCUUUUUGUAUGUACUUUAUGAAUAAGGAUCGGCUAACUCCGUGCCAGCAGCCGCGGUAAUACGGAGGAUCCGAGCGUUAUCCGGAUUUAUUGGGUUUAAAGGGAGCGUAGGUGGGGUGUUAAGUCAGUUGUGAAAGUUUGCGGCUCAACCGUAAAAUUGCAAUUGAUACUGGCAGUCUUGAGUACAGUUGAGGUAGGCGGAAUGCGUGGUGUAGCGGUGAAAUGCUGAGAUAUCACGAAGAACCCCGAUUGCGAAGGCAGCUUACUAAGCUGUGACUGACAUUGAUGCACGAAAGUGUGGGUAUCAAACAGGAUUAGAUACCCCUGUAGUC
rnacentral:rRNA from 1 species